CCCAGUUAAGUGGCAGUGUUGUCGCCCAAAACAUUGACGUUUCUAUCUACUUUUUACAGGACGGAAUGAAAGACUCCACAAUAAUCUCUAGCUUCAUUAUAUCACCUAGAUGAUCCCCAACCUGCUGCAACUCUCCUAAUCUAGUAUCCGCUCUCUGCACAACCCAUGUGGAAUUCUUGGUGUCUGGCAGCAUUUGAAAGUGUCGAUCUGCUGUCAACACAGGCUUCUCGUUUCUCCAAAGUGAACAAUUUCUCUCCAUCCUAUUUUUGAAUUCCAUGCUGUGAAUGUCAUUCAAGUUUAACACAGCUCAUCAGCUCGCUCCAGACGAGAUCCUGUAACUCAUGAUGUCUGUUCACCCCACAACCUGUUCCUCCUACCAGAUAUCAUUGAGAGGAUUU